AUCGCUUCUCGGCCUAAUGUCUAAGAUUAAAGUGUAAUAUAUGUUCUAAUCAGUUUAACAUCUAAUAGAUCCUCCAUCGGAGGAUAACAAAUGUUAAAAUGAUUUUUGGAAAUCGAAGGAGAGUUUUAGGGGCUUGCCCUACCUCUAUCACGGGUUGGAACGGUUUUGCAGUGCCACCGGGAUUUCGGCCCAAAUAAU